rnacentral:tRNA from 1 species
GACAGGGUAGCUCAGAUGGUUAGAGCACAGGAUUCAUAACCCUGAGGUCGGGAGUUCGAUUCUCCCUCCUGUCACCA